GACGAACGCUGGCGGCGUGCUUAACCCAUGCAAGUCGAACGGAAAGGCCCUGCUUUUGUGGGGUGCUCGAGUGGCGAAAGGGUGAGUAACACGUGAGUAACCUGCCCUUGACUUUGGGAUAACUUCAGGAAACUGGGGCUAAUAACGGAUAGGAGCUCCUGCUGCAUGGUGGGGGUUGGAAAGUUUCGGCGGUUGGGGAUGGACGCGCGGCUUAUCAGCUUGUUGGUGGGGUAGUGGCUUACCAAGGCUUUGACGGGUAGACGGCCUGAGAGGGUGACCGGCCACAUUGGGACUGAGGUACGGCCCAGACUCCUACGGGAGGCAGCAGUGGGGAAUAUUGCACAAUGGGCCGAAGCCUGAUGCAGCAACGCCGCGUGCGGGAUGACGGCCUUCGGGUUGUAAACCGCUUUCGCCUGUGACGAAGCGUGAGUGACGGUAAUGGGUAAAGAAGCACCGGCUAACUACGUG
rnacentral:rRNA from 1 species